rnacentral:rRNA from 1 species
AUGCGUCGGCAGAGGAUUUAUGUGGACAACAUUGAAGAAGCGGUGCAACAGUUAAUCCCUUAUCUGGAGGAUACAAGCAGUACUGCACACAAGGCCAUCUAUUUUGAUGGAUGGGAUGGGUUGGCUGCUUCGGCGGUGCUUAGAGCUAUAGCUGAAGACCCUCCACCAUCUCUGCUGAAGAUAUUCAACAAGAUCAUCCACAUCGAUUGCUCCAGGUGGAAAAGCCGAAGAGCUCUCCAGAGGACAAUUGCACAAGAAGUUCUUCCUCAUCGGGUAAUGGAUAUUUUUGAUAGGCAAGAUGAAGAAGAUGAUUUCUGUGGGAUAGACGAAGGCUCAAGAGCUGAAAUAGGAUUCAUUGGGAGAGAGAUCCUUCAAGUCCUUAUGGCGCACAGAUGUUUAGUGGUCUUUCAUAACGGAAGCAAUGAUAUGGUUAAUUUAAGCGCUUUUGGCGUUCCUCAACCAGAGUUUUUUGGUACUAAGAUAUUGUGGUCAUUUCGAGAAAGGCUUCGGCUCAACCCAGGAAUUAGUGAGAAGGUGGAUGAUUCCAAUCUUUUUCUUUAUGCACACAAUGAUGAGCUGUGGAAUUUUCUGCUUAAAAUAGAGGCUAGAGAAAUUGUUGGGUACACAUAUAAGCUUGGUGAAGCAGUUGAAGAGUGUUGCUUGUAUUUGCUGUCAUUAAAUUCUCAGGGAGGCAACAUCAUGGACUAUGACUGGGCUACCCAUGCUUCUAACUAUUGGGUCUGUGAUGGGAUUAUAAAAGGAGAUCAGGAUGAUGAAGCAUGGGAGGUUGCAGCUGCUCUGCAUCAACAAAUAAAUAUAAAGGAUUAUUCAUCUAAUUCACUGCCCACUUUUGGUGAUGAACUGAACACGCCUCUUGAACGGUGGAUAUUAUCCAGGUAUAACUCUGUUUUGUAUCCAUGGUCAACGUCCUUUUUUCUUGCUGGAACCGCAAGCAGAUCUGAUCCUCCAUCAAGACCCUUACCUAAUGACACGUUUCAUCAAUCGAACAUGCUUCGUGUGCUCAAGUUAUGCCGUUGCACCUUCUGUUUUUCUGCACCUCCUUUCGGUUGUUGCCGCAACUUAAGGUUCCUCGGAUUAGAUGCCUGCAAGGAUCAUCGAGUAGAAGAAGAUGAGAAGCAAGAUAGACCAGCAAUGGAAUGUUUUCAGAGCCUAUGGGUACUAGACAUAUGCCACACAGAUUGGGAAUUUGCCUUGUCACCAGAGAUAACAGAGCAGAUUGCUCGGAACAUUAGAGAGGUACACAUAAAGAAGGGAAGGAUUUGGCAACACAGUUUUACAUGGCGACAACUGCAAAACCUUCACAAGCUUCGAGUAAUUGAGCCUACGUCACCUUGGGGGACAGGCCAAAAUGAUGAAUUCACCAAUAUGGUUAAGUUGGAGUUCCUUGACCUAUCUGGGGAUAGUACAAUACAAGCUUUGCCAAGUAUGUCAGGGGCUACUUGCCUCAAGAUUCUGAUUCUCGAUGAUUGUGUUAAACUGGAAAGUGUGGGCCCGGAAGGACUACCGCCAUCACUUGAAUCCUUCAGCUUAGAUUGUUGUACAAGAGGGGAUCAGAAUAACAAUGCUCAAAUUUCUCAUAUCUCUUUGGCUGGUUGUGCAAGAUUGGUGAACUUCAAGUUGCGUGGAUCGCUUCCAAAUCUUGAGGAGCUAGAUCUAUCAGGCACAUUGGUCAAAACACUUGACCUGAAAGAUAAGGUGGUGCAGGCCCCAUGCCUCAAGCAAAUUAUUCUGUUGGGAUGUCUGCAGCUCCUUGCCAUAUUAUGGCCUAAAAAUGGUAUGCCAAAACAUACAGUGUUGCGCAUUGAUUCUUUAGUCUGUCUUGUUCAAGCAGAACUUCUUCAAGCAUAUGCUACUAUAAUGGACAUAAGGUUUCUUCAGACCUUGGUAUUAGAGAGUAAUGUUGAGUUCUGUUGGAAGAGUAGUAGGUUUCAUCUAAAUUUAUGUGUCCCAUGUACCAACAAAGUUGAGGAGCAAAGCUAUAAGAAUACUACCAUUGGUAGUGGUGGGCAUAUAAUGGGUCCUCCUCGGCUGAAGCCAAUAAUACCCAAUGCUUACAUCACCUACAUGGAUGUCGUUGUUGACAACAUGACUAUUGAUGAUUGCUAUAAUAGUGCACCGCAGUUUCAGCCGUUGGGCUCCCAUGUGGAGAUUGGUGAUGGAAUUAGUUUCACUAGAAUGGAGAGCACACAAGUAGUGAAGGCUAUCAUCUUUGUGAUGUACAAGGCUGAGUCGUUGCAUGCGCACGACAAUUCUUCCAUCAGCACUGUCAUCCCUGAACAUAUGAUGUCCAUGGGAGGUGAGAAACUUAUAUGGAAACAUCUGAAAUCUUGUCACAUUGUGAGAUGUCCCAAGUUGCACACAAUCUUCAAUAUUAUCUGGGGAUACAACAAAUUUAGAGAACUAGUAAACUUUUGGGCAGCUGAUCUCCCGAUGGCCCAUUGCAUUUGGAGCAGACAAAGGGCACGGGAUAUUGAGGACCCUGUUUCCUUUGCGAAACUGCAGAGCAUACACCUGUCCUCCUGCCCAAGGCUCACAUUUGUGCUCCAGUUUUCCAGGUUAUACACCUUGAGAAGGUUGGAAACCCUCCACAUCGUCUUUUGUGGUGAUCUAAGGCAGGUGUUCCCCGUGGAGCCAGAGAUUCUGACAAGCAUAGCUACAAGAUACCGUAAAGAUGUUCUGGGUUUCCCAAACCUGAAGCAUAUCUACUUCCAUCAGCUCUUCAAGCUGGAACAUAUAUGCCAGGCCAAGAUGUUUGCUCCCAAGCUUGAGACUAUCAGGGUCAGGGGAUGCUGGGGUCUCAGGCGCCUCCCCUCUGUUGGCCGAGAUAGCCGCCCUAUCGUGGACUGCGAGGAGGACUGGUGGAAGGCGCUGGAGUGGGAUGGGCCGGAGGCUGGCCACGACCCUUCCCUCUUCCGGCCGCGCCACUCGGCGUAUUACAAGAAGCCCCUGCCUAGAGUCUCAGUUCUACGGUGA